AUUGAACGCUGGCGGCAUGCCUUACACAUGCAAGUCGAACGGCAGCAUGGAGAGCUUGCUCUCUGAUGGCGAGUGGCGAACGGGUGAGUAAUGCAUCGGAACGUACCGUGUAAUGGGGGAUAACGUAGCGAAAGUUACGCUAAUACCGCAUACGACCUGAGGGUGAAAGCAGGGGAUCGCAAGACCUUGCGUUAUACGAGCGGCCGAUGUCAGAUUAGGUAGUUGGUGAGGUAAAGGCUCACCAAGGCGACGAUCUGUAGCGGGUCUGAGAGGAUGAUCCGCCACACGGGGACUGAGACACGGCCCAGACUCCUACGGGAGGCAGCAGUGGGGAAUUUUGGACAAUGGGGGCAACCCUGAUCCAGCAAUGCCGCGUGAGUGAAGAAGGCCUUCGGGUUGUAAAGCUCUUUUGUCAGGGAAGAAACAGCAGCUCUAACACAGUUUGCGAAUGACGGUACCUGAAGAAUAAGCACUGGCUAACUACGUGCCAGCAGCCGCCGUAA
rnacentral:rRNA from 1 species